UUUUUUCUUUGGUUUUCGUUGAUUUUAUUGGGUGUGAUUAUGCUAAGCUGAGCUGUGGCUUGCAUUUAGCGCCGAGCAACGAGGCCUAAUUUGGCCGAUGAUGUACAACUCUUACUGUAUUGAGCGGUUCGCUUGGUUUUCAUUCAUUACUAGCCUUUACUCACCACCACCUCUUUGUACGAGUGUAUAUGUUUGAUAAAAUGGGUGUGAUGAGGGAUUUUUUUUACAGCACCUAAGCCAAAUCCUGUGAAGAGUAGCAUUACUCUUUCUUUAUACAUAUAUACACUCAUAUUUUUUGGUGGUGGUUUGUAAAGGCUUCUGUUUGAGCUCCAUUGCAUUGAAAGACCGUGGAUGAUUCAGUUUAAAGCUAUGAGAUCUGAGGGCUUUUAUAUGCCUUGGUUUGAUUUUCACAUGCAUUGUAUUGCAAAACUAGGUUUGGACGGUGGACAUUCAAAGUACAAACAGCUGCUUCAGAUUGCAUCUCUGCUGCCCUUUCUGGACAGCAAUAAAAGCUUCUUCUAUCCUGCCUGAUUUAGUUAUUAUUUUGUGAGCUAUUAAUUCCUACUUGUGUCGUCCUUUUCUAUCUUACUCUUUUUCUCCAUUGUUUCUGUUCUUUAAUCUCCUUUUUGUGUUGUGGAGCAAAUGCUUCUUGUAAUCUCUUUGGCAUGUUUUAGAAAGGAAAGAAAUGCAAAAUCAGUUUAGCAAUAAAAGCUUCCUGGGCUAUCAAAAUA